UACGUAGGGGGCAAGCGUUGUCCGGAGUUACUGGGCGUAAAGCGCACGCAGGCGGUCUGUUAAGUUUGGAGUGGCAGUUGGUGGCUUAACUGCCAAAGUGCUUCGAAAACUGAUCGACUUGAGGGCUUCAGAGGGACACGGAAUUCCGGGUGGAGUGGUGAAAUGCGUAGAGAUCCGGAGGAACACCGAAGGCGAAGGCAGUGUCCUGGGGAGUACCUGACGCUCAGGUGCGAAAGCCAGGGGAGCGAACGGG
rnacentral:rRNA from 1 species